UGGGACUCAACAAAGAGGUCUGCCUUGACUUGGCAAGUGAGCUUGCACUUUAACGGCCAUUGGUGUGAUACUAAAAUACCUCCAUUACAUGUGCAUAUCGAUUUGAGAUGGUGUGCAGGUAAUUCACUGCUGCCGCCCAGGAGUAGUGGGAGUUUGAUCACAGGGAUUCUUUUUUUUAUGUUUGAUAUUUUUUGGGCCCACACACAUGGUGGUGUAGUCGCCAAGAAAGGAGGAGAAAGAUAUCUUAAAUAAUAACACUGGUUACUCUAAGUCAAG